rnacentral:rRNA from 1 species
GACGAACGCUGGCGGCAUGCCUAACACAUGCAAGUCGAACGAAGGCUUCGGCCUUAGUUGCGCUCGUGUGCUUAACGCGUGGGAAUCUGCCCUUGGGUUCGGAAUCCCAGUUAGAAAUGACUCCUCAUACCGGUUGAUCACGUAAGUCCAAGGAUUUAUCGCUUGAGGAUGAGCCCGCGUAGGAUUCGCUAGUUGGUGUGGUACAGGCGCACCAAGGCGACGAUCCUUAGCUGGUCUGUGAGGAUGAUCAGCCACACUGGGACUGAGACACGGCCCAGACUGCCACGCGACGCAGCAGUGGGGAAUAUUGGACGAUGGGCGCAAGCCUGGUCCAGCAAUGCCGCGGGAGUGAGGAAGGGGUUAGUGUUGUAAAGCUGUUUUAGCCGUGGUGAGAAUGACGGUAGCGGGUGAAUAAGCCCCGGCUAACUCCGUG